rnacentral:rRNA from 1 species
CAGUCUCCGCGGUAAUACGUAGGGUGCGAGCGUUAAUCGGAAUUACUGGGCGUAAAGCGUGCGCAGGCGGUUAUAUAAGACAGAUGUGAAAUCCCCGGGCUCAACCUGGGACCUGCAUUUGUGACUGUAUAGCUAGAGUACGGUAGAGGGGGAUGGAAUUCCGCGUGUAGCAGUGAAAUGCGUAGAUAUGCGGAGGAACACCGAUGGCGAAGGCAAUCCCCUGGACCUGUACUGACGCUCAUGCACGAAAGCGUGGGGAGCAAACAGGAUUAGAUACCCGCGUAGUCCCUGUCUCUUAUAC